rnacentral:rRNA from 1 species
UACGAAGGGGGCUAGCGUUGCUCGGAAUACUGGGCGUAAAGCGUGCGCAGGCGGUUUUGUAAGUCUGUCGUGAAAGCCCCGGGCUCAACCUGGGAAUUGCGAUGGAGACUGCAAGGCUUGAAUCUGGCAGAGGGGGUAGAAUUCCACGUGUAGCAGUGAAAUGCGUAGAGAUGUGGAGGAACACCGAUGGCGAAGGCAGCCCCCUGGGUCAAGAUUGACGCUCAUGCACGAAAGCGUGGGGAGCAAACAGG